GCGAGUAUGGCCCUCACGGGUCUAAUCCACCAUAAACACCUUUGUGAACCUUAGUCAGUUGCGGGAGGGCCUUCGGCGUUGAGGAAGCCUAGGGAUUAGCGGAAGGCAUCCUACCUAUUGAAACCACGACUAGAUUAGUACCUUUUUUAAAACCUAAUUUUCUUUUACUUACUUACAGUCAGUAA
rnacentral:misc_RNA from 1 species